GCAUAUGAUCAAGUGUUUACAUAACAUAUGAGGUUAAUAAUUAAGAGAUGUUCAUGCAGCUUAAUUACCUUUCAAUUAACAGAAAAUAGUUGUCAUUAAUGCAUAAGGUUCUUUAACAAACUUAAUUUAAUAAAAUCACCAAAUAACAAUCAAUCAUAAAGUAUAUUCUAAACCAUAGGAGUAAAUUAGUCUUCCCCAACAGAAACAAAACGAAUUUAGUUCAUAGUCAUGAUAAAAGCAAACUCAAAAGCAGAUUUAACUAAGCUAAACGUACUUAAUUCCUAAAGCUAAGUGGAAUGAUUAACCUAGUUGCCUUGAUUCUUCCAAGGAUUAAAGAUUAGGGUUCCUUAGCUCCUCCAAGGGUUCUUCAAUCGCAGAUUCAACUCUCAAAAUCGCCAAAAGUCCUCUCCAAUCGGAUAAUAGUUUGGUAUUUAUAAUUAUCACAAAACAGGGUGUACUCGGCGAGUAGCAGAUCCAACUUGCCGAGUAGAUGCUAGUUAUCCGUCCCAUACUAGGAGUCUUGACUUAUCUUCUGGAAUAUUCUAAUGGACUCGCCGAGUAGGAAGGCUUUUGUCCCUCAUUCUUCAUUCUUUGGUCUCUAAUUGCUUCCCCUUGUUCCCUUUCACUCCCAAGCGUGUCUUUUGGACUGAAAACAAAAUUUAAACAUUAUUAAGUACCUUUUGUCCACAUUAUACACAUAAUUAGUUAAAAAUGAAUAAAAAUGUAUGCUAAAUAAUUAACUAAUUAUGCACAUAUCAGNAUUAACUAAUUAUGCACAUAGCUAAAUAAUUAACUAAUUAUGCACAUAUCAAAAUACCCCACACUUGACUUUUGCUUGCCCCCAAGCAAAACUGAAUUUUAAACAUAUUAGAACCACAUGUGACAACUCCAAUCUAACCCAUCCAUUAUUGCCAAGACCGCAACGCAUGCAUUUGUGUCUAAAAUUGUCCUAAAUACCCCCAUACUCCAAAUACUCACAAUCCUCAUAAACAUUCGCCCACUCACCCCGAACUAUGCUCAUUUUAUGCAUCCCUCCGAAUCCAUCCCCAGAAAACCUCUUAACCUCAAGGUAUUUUUGUUUGAGCAACCCAAGCAUACAUAAUCUAGAUAAUUACAAUUUAUGAUACCACAUUGGAGCUCUUUGGAAUUCUUCACUUCUUUGACAUUUGAUCUUUAAUUUCUUUGAAUUCACCACCUUGUUGUUUGAUUUUUGGUAUCUUCAACUUUUUGAAUUUCUUCAGAAUUUUUGAUCUUUGAACUUCAUACUUUAACUUUGAUGCUCCAAAAAUUCUUAAAAUUUUCUUGUAAUUCUCUCUCUCUCUUUUUUUUUAACAUGUAACUCACUUUUUUCAGUCAAAACCCAACAUGCUUAAGCAGGGGCGCUCAACUUCAACCUUUAUUNAGGCGUUCAACUUCAACCUUUAUUGGCUAAAGAUAACAAUUUUCCUAGAUACAUUUCUGGUACACGAUGCUAAACAUAUUGCAUCCCCCAGGCUAAGCGAGGUCGUGUUUUUGUCCCAUGAUUUCACUGGAAUAAGGAAGCCACAAAUACACUAGAACGUAUAUAGGCUCAACUAAACAUUUGAGUUUUCAUGCAAUUAUCAACACAAUUCUAACAUGGAAUCAUAAUUUGCUUUUACCAAAAUUUUCUCAAUUAAUUCCUAAGUAAUAUUUUUGGUAUGCAACAAUUUUUUAAAAUUAGCCUAAAUUAAGACUCUAAAUUUUCUAAUAUGUGACCAACCCCCUACCCUACACUUAUUUUAUGCAAUGCCCUCAUUGCAUAUUAUGCAAAAAUAAAAAUGCAAAUAUAGAGAGAAUUGGAACAAACUCCCCUGGGGUAGCAGUCAAUAUGUUGAUACUCUUUUCUCCAGCUCCAUCUUCAAUUGACUUUAGCCAUGGAAACAACUCAUCCAUGUCUUGGGUGUCAUGCGUCUCGUGUGGUUAACAGCUCGAAAAUAUCACGUAACAAGCUUCUUAGAAAAUCCCCAUAACAACUCUUCACGAAAAGUGGAUAAAUGCUGCAGUGAAAGUGCUCAAAACAGCUCUGGAACUCGAAAAUUGCAAGUCUACUCGGCGAGUAGUGCCGUGUACUCGGCGAGUAGCUCUUAACUUGGAACUAUAACGUGUAAUAUCCCAUGUACUCGCCGAGUAGAAUUUGUGCACUCGGCGAGUAGGCAAUGUAUUGCCAAAACUGAUCCAACUCAUGUUCCUUUGGACUCGGGUUUUGAAAUUGGAAAUUUCACUGACCCUUACUCUAAAUCCUUCAGCAACAACACUCUCCAUUACUCUCGACUCUAACGGACUCAAUCCUAAGGACAAGACUUCGUACUUUUUCUUGAACAUCUCUCAUUCCUUACUUGACCCUCAACACUUUAUUAUGCUUUCUAACCUUCCAUCCCUGAAACAUAAGCAACUAAAAGUGAAAGUAAUAAAAAUCCUAAAAACAAAAAUCAUCCAAGUUUUAACAAUUGUUCAAAACAAAACACCAUAAAAACACAAAACAUAAAAAUAAACUCCUCAGUCUUCUUCUUCCAUAUCGGCUCCUCCCGCGCCACAUCCUCCUUCUUCAUUUCUUCUCCUCAUUCUUUCGUCCCAACUGAUAAUGUAUAGAUAGCCGGGUCCGGGUCUUGGUGCAAUGUUCAUCUGUUGGAAGAGGUAUUCAAAAGAUUGAUUAUUAUAAUUAACCCCUCGUCCAAUAUCGUCCAAAUAGCGCUGGUACUCCACUUGAUUCCACCCAUCGUUGUCCUCCUCCACCGGAAUAACCGGUGGGUCUUCUCGUACCCGCUCGCUACGUUGCCUUACCCGUCUUCCCGGCUCCUCGGGGAUUGCCGGCUCGUCCGCAUGUGGAAUGGAAAAGGAAUCACCAAACUUCUCCACGAUCUGUGCCCUCCUGUAUAAUGCAGUGUUGAACGGGGGAGGAUAAAUGACCGUGAGCGCCCCUGCUUCUUGCAAAUCUAAGACCCCAAACGACCUGACAAGCCUUGUAACAAACAUGCCUCCAUUAAUCUUGGAGUUCACCUUUUCCUUAACCGCCCCUUCAGCAAGAUACUUGGCGAUGCAAUAGGGGAGAUGCAGAAAGCAUCGGGAGNAAUACUCCAAAGAUAGAAGAUAUCAAGGGUUGGGACCUUGUCCCAAUCCUUUCGCAUGUUGAUGGUGCUGGCCACGAAGCGGUGAAUAAGACGAUGGAUCGGCGAGCGAAUAUAACCCUCCUGAGCGGUGGAAGGAAUAUACACCCGGUUGGCAAUAGUAUUCCACCAGGUGGAGGCCACCACUGCCUCGGGAAGAUCCUUAUGGCAGUUCUCCAGAAAGGCUUCAAAGUCCUCAGUCAGCAUAGUGCUUUGAUCAUAAAUCCCUAGCCUCCAGGAAAAUUCAGCCAUGCUUCAUUGUCGCAGCUCACCACCAAGAGAAAAAGAAAUUAUGUUGGGGUUGUAAUACUCACUACCACCUCGGAAUGAGAUGGUAGCAAAAAAUUCCCAACACAGUUCAGCAUAAACAUGUUCUUGUAUCUUGAAUAACUGUAACCAACCAUCACAUAUGAUGGUGGUAUCCCCCAAGUUGCACUCCUUCACCAAAUAUGGUGUGAGCUCCUCCUCCAAGCCCACUUUUCCCAACCAAUCCCAGUCAACAACGUUGGGCAAAUGGAUCUCCUUCUGUUUCAGCGCCUCUAAUUUGUUUUUGGCUCGAGCUUGGGAUGAUUUGGACGUGAUUUGUCGAAAUGAGAGCCACGGGAUAUCACCUUGGCUUCCACCUCUGGAAGACUGCCCCUUUCUGGACAUGGUAUCUGCAUAAGAACAUUAAGAAAACACAAACAAACAACACCCAGUAAUUAAAUUCGAAAUAAACAGGGCUGUAUAGUAUCCUACUCGCCGAGUUCAUGUCCUACUCGGCGAGUAGGAUGAAUAGCGGGACCAAAAUCCGUCGAUCAUAUAUAGGGUGCCCAAAACUCCUAAUUUUUCAUAGGGGUUUGCUGUAUUAAGUCAAAUAAACAUAGAUCCAAAAGAAAUUUCUCCUAACAUUACCUAAUUCAUGGCAAAAUUAGAACCCUAGAAUUUGAGGAAACCCCCAAAUCCGAAUUUAAGCAAAAUAGGGGCAAAUCGAUGAUAAAGCUUGAACCUUUGAUGAGUUUUAAGUAUAAAGAUCUUACCUUUUCCUUUGAAAGACGAAGAUUAAGUGGAAAAUUAAAGAAAUCGCAGAGGGUGCUUGAAGGAUGCUGUGCACGACGAGUAUUUAGGGUAAAUGGGUGAAAACCCUUAUUUUACAGUUUUUAUACUAUCUGUGUAAGUUGGCUACUCGCCGAGUAAAAAAGAUCUACUCGCCGAGUAGAACUGGUGUUACGCGUUUAUUGGGUUAUUUGGGCAGGUACUCGCCGAGUAUACGUGCCUACUCGGCGAGUAAUCCUUACAGUUUGAAAAAAAUUUGAAUGUUUUUGAAAAAUUAAUGAAUUUUCUCAUUUUUAACCAUCCACCCCACACUCUAGGCAUUGCUUGCCCUCAAGCAAUUAUAUUCUUAAAAGAAGACGAAUGAAAAAAUAAAAAUAAAGUAAAGGAAAGAAAAUGCAAACUUGAGACACGGGUUGCCUCCCAAGAAGCGCUUCUUUUUAAGGAGUCAUUAGCUGGACUCCUCCCCUUCUACGUGGUUGCAAUCCCUUCCAGCAACAACAAUUCUUCCAUACCUUCAUUCCUAGGGACUCCUUCUUCAUACUUUUUGACCCUAUGUCCAUUGACUUUGAAAGGUGUUCCAUCUCUUGACAAUAGCUCUAUAGCACCAUGUGGAAACACCUUCUUCACCAGAAAAGGACCAUUCCAUCUCGACCUUAGUUUCCCCGAGAAAAGCUUUAGCCUUGAAUUAAAGAGCAACACUUUUUGGCCUUCAUGGAAUUCUUUAUUUUCUUUAAUCCUCUUGUCGUGCCACAUCUUGGUCUUCUCUUUAUAAAGCAACGAACUUGAGUAUGCAUCAUUUUUAAGCUCUUCAAGGGCAUUCAUUUGCAUCAACCGGUUGCUCUUAACUUGCUCCGUGUUGAGGUUACACAUCUUUGAGGCCCAAAACGCCUUAUGCUCUAUCUCCACCGGCAAAUGACAUUGAUUACCAUACACUAAUCUAUAUGGUGUAGUACUAAUAGGUGUUUUGAAAGCUGUACGGAAAGCCCAAAGUGCAUCAUCUAGCUUCUUUGACCAUUCCUUGCGAUUGCUCCCCACCGAUUUCUCCAAAAUUCGCUUCAAAGCUCGAUUCGUCACUUCGGUUUGUCCACUAGUUUGUGGAUGGUUGGAUGUAGAAAAUUUAUGGGUUACCCCAUAUUUCCUUAGCACCUUCUCUAGUUGAUCAUUGGCAAAAUGCAUGCCUCGGUCACUUAUAAGAGCUUUCGGGACUCCAAAUCGUGAAAAUAACUUUUUUAAAAACUGCACCACUACCCGACCGUCAUUAGUUGGUAACGCUUGUGCCUUCGCCCAUUUGGAUACAUAAUCUACCGCCACCAAUAUGUGUUUGUUGCCUUUAGACAUGGGAAAUGGUCCCAUGAAGUCGCUUCCCCACACAUCAAAUACCUCGCACACUUGGAUACUAUGUUGUGGCAUUUCAUUUCGAGAUGAAAUGUUUCCCACUCUUUGACAAGCAUCACACUCUUUGACAAAUUGGGCUGCAUCUUUAAAAAUUGUGGGCCAAUAGAACCCAAUGUCAAAGAUCUUCUUUGCAGUGUAAUGUGCUUCAUAAUGUCCACCCGUGGGCCCGCUAUGACAAUGCUCUAAUAUUUUCUGGCUUUCAUUCCCGAACACGCAUCUUCGUAUGAUCCCAUCCGCGCAGCUUCGAAAAAGAUAUGGUUCAUCCCAAAAGUAAUAUUUUAUCUCGGAAAAGAAUUUCUUCUUUUGUUGACUUGUGAGAUCUUUUGGGAUGUAAUUGCUAGCUAUGUAGUUAGCUAUAUUUGCAAACCAUGGUUCUUCUCCCACGGUCACCAUAAUAUACUCGUCCGGAAAAUCAUCGCUAACUCUAUCUUCGUGCAAUUGCGGGUUUUCAAGCCUUGACAAGUGGUCAGCUGCUACAUUCUCCAUUCCCUUCUUGUCUCGUAUCUCUAUGUCAAACUCUUGAAGAAGUAGCACCCAUCGUAUCAGUCUUGGCUUAGCAUCCUGUUUGGCAAAUAAAUACUUGAUGGCAGAGUGGUCAGUAAAAACGGUUGUUUUAGAUAAAACUAAAUAAGGACGGAACUUGUCAAAAGCAUACACCACAGCUAAUAAUUCUUUUUCCGUGGUGGUGUAAUUUUCUUGGGCUGGAUUUAGAGUCUUGCUAGCAUAAUAUAUGGGUCGAAAGUGCUUAUCAACCCUUUGACCAAGGACAACUCCUAAUGCAAAGUCACUAGCAUCACACAUAAUCUCAAAGGGUAAACUCCAAUUUGGUGCAACAAUGAUCGGGGCAUUAGUUAAUUUUUCCUUUAAAAAUUCAAAUGCCUCUAAACACUCUUUAGUAAAAUUAAAUGGUGCAUCUUUUAAUAGUAAUUGUGUUAGAGGUCUAGUUAUUUUGGAAAAAUCUUUUAUGAAACGCCGGUAAAAACCCGCGUGUCCUAGAAAACUUCUAAUGCCCUUCACAUUAGUUGGUGGGGGUAAUUUGGCAAUGGUGUCAAUCUUUGCCCGAUCCACUUCAAUUCCCAUUUUGGAAACCUUGUGGCCUAAAACUAUACCCUCCUUGACCAUAAAGUGACAUUUCUCCCAAUUGAGGACCAAGUCGGUUUUUUCACACCUAGCAAGCAUUAAGUCAAGAUUUGUGAGACAAUCAUGGAAAGAAGAUCCAAAAACGGAAAAGUCGUCCAUAAAAACUUCCAUGAAUUUUUCCACCAUAUCGUGGAAUAUGGCUGUCAUACACCUUUGAAAAGUCGCGGGUGCAUUGCAUAGCCCAAAGGGCAUGCGCCUAUAAGCAAAAGUCCCACUGGGGCAAGUAAAUGUGGUCUUUUCUUGGUCCAUUGGGUCUAUGGGUAUUUGGAAAUAACCCGAGAAUCUGUCUAGAGAGCAAUAGUAACUAUGGCCCGAUAAUUUUUCUAACAUUUGAUCAAUAAAAGGUAAGGAAAAAUGGUCUUUACGAGUGGCAUCGUUUAGCUUUCGAUAAUCGAUGCACACUCUCCAACCGGUUACCUUUCGUGUCGGAAUUAGCUCGUUCUUUUCGUUGGUUAUGACCGUCAUCCCUCCUUUCUUUGGCCCCCCUUGGACCGGACUCACCCACGGACUGUCGGAAAUGGAAUAGAUAAUUCCCGCAUCUAAGAGUUUAACCACUUCCUUCUUGACAGCUUCUUGCAUAUUUGGGUUUAAUCUUCUUUGGUGUUGUACAACCGACUUUGCUCCUUCUUCUAGAUUAAUCUUGUGAGAGCAAUAAGAUAGGCUUAUUCCCUUGAUGUCGGUGAUGCUCCAUGCUAUGGCCCGCUUCCGCUUCUUCAACACUUGCACGAGCUCUUCCGUUUCAGAUUUGGACAGGUCAGAAGCUAUGAUUACUGGCUUUUGGUUUCCAUCUUCAAGGAAAGCAUACUCCAAAUGUUCUGGUAACUUUUUGAGCUCAGAUUUUUGGUUCUGACUGUUGUACUCGCCGAGUGCAGGUAAGGUACUCAGUGAGUUGGUAGCUGCAUUCACGACUUCUGAUUUUUCUGAGGAUGAACUCGGCGAGUAGACCGGACCUACUCGGCGAGUAGAGCUAUCAGUUUGCUUGACUAUUUCUUCAAAUUCAGCUUCUUCCAGCAGCCUUUCCAUCUCCAUUAAGUCUCUUUCUGCAUCAAAUUCUUCAUAAAAAAUUGUGGACUUGCUGGAAUCUUCACUUACGCACUCCUCCAAUAGUUCGUUUAGCAUGUCAAUUGAGAACGCCGUGUCGUCACUGUUCCUUGCAUACUUCAUGGCUUGAUCAACCCCAAAAGUUACAGAAUCAUCACCUACCCGCAAAGUAAGCUUUGAAUCCCUCAUGUCUACUAUAGCACUCGCAGUGUUGAGGAAGGGUCUUCCGAGGAUGAUCGGGACUUGAGGAUCUGCCUCCAUAUCUAGAAUUAUAAAAUCCGCGGGAAAGACGAAUUUGUCCACCUUGGCUAGUAAGUCUUCACAGNCUAGUAAGUCUUCGCAGAUGCCUCUUGGGAACGUGACUGUCUUGUUUGCUAAGUGAAUUGCCAUGCGAAUUGGCCUUGGUUCCGGGAGAUCCAGCUUCUUAAAGAAUGAAUAUGGCAUUAGGUUCACACUUGCUCCCGAAUCGGCUAAGGCAUGAAUGGUAGCCAAGUUGCCAAAUUGGCAAGGUAGAGUUAAGCUCCUCGGGUCACCCUUCUUCUUUGGUAGCUUAUUUAGCAUAGCAGCUGAGCAGUUUUCAUUGAGGACCACCUUCUUCACUUCUUCCAUCUUCCUUCGAUUAGUGAGAAGUUCCUUAAAGAACUUAGCAUAUUUGGGCAUUUGGGCGACAACUUCAAUGAAGGGUAUGUUGAUUUGAAGAGCCUUGAUAUGAUCUAGAAACUUCUGGUACUCCUCUUCCGGCUUCUCCUUCUUAGCUCGGGCUGGGUAUGGCAUUGGAGGCUGAUACAGCUUUUUCAGGAACAUGUUCCUUUGGAUUUGGCAGUAUACUCGCCGAGUCCAUAUUUGGUACUCGGCGAGUAGAGCUGUCAGAUUGAAGAUUUUGAUUUUCUGCUUCCUCCUUCUGUGAGUCUUUGGGUGCUUCAUUCUGAAUAGGGGCCAGAGGAGUGAUUAUUUUCCCACUUCUUGUUGUAACUAUAUUUAUGUGCGCGCCUCGUGGGUUAUUUUCGGUUUUACUAGGAAGUUUGCCCGGUGAUCUUUGGUUGAUUUGUUGAGCAAGUUGCGCUAGCUGCGUUUCUAUGUUGUGGAUGGAUGCUUGCUGGUUUCUAAGCAUGGUCCUUGUUUCUUGAAUUGCAGCAUCAUGAUCACUAUGUCUCUUUUCUGAAGCAGCUACAAAUUUGGUAAGCAUUUCUUCCAAACUUGGUUUUCUUUCUUGUGCCGGCUCCUCCUUUUGGUAAAACCCUCUUCCUUUCUGCCUGAACUUCUCCUCCUUAGCCUUCUUGUACUCUUCAUAUGGGAGCCACUCUUUCUUUGGUUUUCGCCAAUCUUCAUCAUAUCGGUCUCCACUUGAGUAACAAACUUGCACCUUCUUGUUGCCAUUUUCAUCCAAGUCGCAAUCUCUAGUAAGAUGAGGCCCAUUGCAGUUUUCACAACCCACCCGAAUAGCAUGGAUCGUUUGAUCCAUUUUAUCCAUCCUCCUAUCCAUGGUUUUUAGCAUAGCCAUGACCGCGGACAAGUCUUCAGUAGCUGCAUAUGCGGCUCCCCUAGUAACAUCAUUUCUUGGGUUGUGGUAUUCUCUAGAGUGCUUAGAGAAUUCUUCAAUCAAUUCCUUGAUCACCGGGGGUGGCUUCUUUGUGAGCGGGCCUUGCGAGUCAAGUAACUGCCUGGUUGUGACAUUGACUCCAUCAUAGAAAAUGGAGACUUCUUGCUGGCUAUUUAGGUCAUGGUGUGGGCAGUUUCUUAGUAAGCUCUUGUACCUCUCCCAAGCUUCAUAUAGUGACUCUCCAGCUUGUUGUUCAAAGUUAGCAAUGGCCUUCUUCAACUUGGCUAUCUUGGAAGGUGGGCAAAAGUGAUCAAUGAAUUCUUCUUUCAUCUUGGCCCAAGUGGUGACUGAUCCGGGGGGAAGUGACUUGAGCCAGUCUUUUGCAGCACCUUUGAAUGUCACCGGAAGCAUACGAAGUAGCUGAGUCUCGCGGGGCACAUUUGGAACAUUGAAGUAAUCAGCUACAUCAUUGACUUCAUCCAAAUGCUUGUAGGCAUCUUCAUGGUCUUUUCCAUAAAAAGGUAUUUCUUUAAGUAAAGCUAGGAUAUGAACCUUUAGCUCGAAAGUAGCAGUCGCGGGAAUUGCGGGUUGCACAAGUCCCGGGUCAGUGUCGCCGCGCAUCCUCUUCUUCCAUUCCCCCAUGGGGAUUUCAUCAAUGUUAGCCAUGGUAAGAGUUAACUCGUUGCCGGAAUCGGAGUCGUGCCCGUAUGUGGGUUCUUCCUCUUCCUCGGUGUCGUACUCGGUGUCUUCCUUGAUCAGGUCUUCGCUUGCUAAAGAUGCGCUGGAUGCUCCUGAUUUGCUGCUCUUUUUCUUCCCAAAAACAGUCUUCAAAUUAGACAAAUGUGACUUCUUUGGUGUACUCGAGCUCUCCACGUCCUUUCCUUUGUUCCUUUUCAAUGCGGAUUCGGGAUCUUCAAACGGGGGUACCAGCGGGGUGUUUGAUCCUCUGGUCAUGAAAGUCCUGAAAUAAACAAGAUAAAAACGUAAAAAGAACAAAAAAGUGUACUAAAAAAAACGAAAAUUAAAAGCUACAAUCUGCUUUACUCGCCGAGUAGGUGUGAAUGCACUCGGCGAGUAGCAGUGUAUUUUUGAAAGAAUUCAAAACUUGAAAUAAAACUAAUUUAGAUGCUAAAACCUAACUACUAAUUAUUAAUCUGCAAUGAAUUAACUUUGUGCCAGUAAACUCACACAAAGGAUCGAAAAAAUUAGAAAUUAGAUAAAUUAUUUAGAACCGUUCCCCGGAAACGGCACCAAAAACUUGAUGUGUGUGAAACGAACUAGUUUUAAUCCUACUUUUAGUUAAUAAAUUAAACACACAAAGGCAGUGAACCUGUCUUUUAGUGGUAUAGUUGGAUAAGUAGGGUGUUGAACUCAGGGAACGGAAUUUAAUCUAAUAACUAAUUUUAACUAAACAAGUAAUAAAAGUAAAGGGUUUUUUCUCUAGUUUUACAAGACUAGAAACUUAAACAUCGCACUUAAAACAAUUAACUAACUAAAUAAUUAAAGCAAAUGACAAAUUCACCAAAUUUAUUAAAGGGUUUCUGUUUAGGUUCAACUAAUUCACUCCUAUGGUUAUUUAAAUGAUAAAUUAAUUAUUAUUGGUUACCAAUUAUAGUGGUUAGGUUCAUGUUCAUUACUCCUAACCCUUAGACAAUUAAUCAAUUCAAGCAGUGGCCAAUUGUUUAAACUAAUUAAUUCCCUAGUUUAAUUAUUUGGAUUAAAUAAGAUUUGUAAUUGGUUAAUCAAGUUGGUGUUUCAAUUAACCUCUUGUUUGUUGGUUUCUCAAACAAGCUCACAUAUUAAUUUACCCAUUCUCUAAUUAAUCUUAAUUUCAUAUUCAUUACUCUUAAGCAUAUGAUCAAGUGUUCACAUAACAUAUGAGGUUAAUAAUUAAGAGAUGUUCAUGCAGCUUAAUUACCUUCCAAUUAACAGAAAAUAGUUGUCAUUAAUGCAUAAGGUUCUUUAACAAACUUAAUUUAAUAAAAUCACCAAAUAACAAUCAAUCAUAAAGUAUAUUCUAAACCAUAAGAGUAAAUUAGUCUUCCCCAACAGAAACAAAACGAAUUUAGUUCAUAGUCAUGAUAAAAACAAACUCAAAAGCAGAUUUAACUAAGCUAAACGUACUUAAUUCCUAAAGCUAAGUGGAAUGAUUAACCUAAUUGCCUUGAUUCUUCAAAGGAUUGAAGAUUAGGGUUCCUUAGCUCCUCCAAGGGAUGCUAUAAUAAAACAAUAAAUGAAGUAUGUUCCUAUUUUUUUCCAACAAUAUCCAAAUCAGCGCCAAUGGCGCAAUUGAGUUCCUUCU
rnacentral:lncRNA from 1 species